rnacentral:lncRNA from 12 species
CUUGGUGAAUGCACCAUCUAGUAUGGUUCCAGCAACUCCCUUAAUGCUCCAAUUAAGCCCGUCUUCCUUCUAAACACCAAGCCACUGUCAGCUAAUGUGGCUGCCCGUGUCAUUUGCUCAUAAGCUGAGAAUGUGAUAGUCAGGCUAGUGGGAAUGUUUGGCAUCACUCUGCAUUAGUCUGAUUAGUCAUCCUGGUUUGUCGAUUUAAGUCUCUGUUGAACUGGAAGAGUGAGCCAAGCCAUUCUCAGGGGGCCAAGGGCAUCCGGUUUCUGAGGCUGCCAGACAGGUCUGAUGGCUACCGGGCGGUGGAUCCACCAAAACACUAUCUCGGAGAGGACCAGGCAGACAUCACUCCUCCUCGUCCCUUGAAUCCAGGCUCCUUCCAUUUGAAAGCCUGGCACGAAGAUUUCCACCUGUCACUGAAUCAGACUCACAUCUUUACCCCCAGCAAAGAGGAUGACAACAAGCAAAAAGAAAGUUCCCUUGCUACCUUGGACUGCCUGUGAAUGGUAAGUCGGAAAGGCCGUGGCAGGCUGAAGCUCCAUUUACACACUGACACACUCCUGUCUUGUUAAUAUUUGCAUUGAACAAGCCAUUUUCUGUGCUGACAUUUUGCAUCUAGUUAAAUGCCAGCAAAUCCGGGGAGAUGUGACUUUGACCUGUGGUUCUGCCCUUACGGACAACCGUUGGAUGCUGUGAUACUUCCAUUUUAAUUUCUCAUAUUCCACAUUUUGGAUUCUUUCAGCUCAGAUUUUUUUUUUAAACUGGAUGUAAUGCGUCAGACUUAACAUUAUCUCUGCUGAAUAUUUAAUUGGGAAAUGUUGUUAAAAAGGCAUUUGGCUUAAAUGAUCUAAUUGUAUGCAUAGAUAUUUCUUUUCUGACAGUAAAGUGGCUUUGAAUGAUUUUUGGUAUUAUGAGGGAAUUACAGAGAAAUUUGCCCUAAAGUGUUCAAUGUCAGGUUUUUUGUUUUGUGUGUGUGUGUGUGUGUGUGUGUGUGUGUGUGUUUAGUUUUGUCUUUUGAGCUCGUGGCUUUGCUGAAGGCAAGGAAGAAAGUGAGGCUGAGUAUUCCUUUAAAGAGUCUAGGGGGCAGGUUGUUGUAGUUAUGGACUCAGGGGCUCUGGAGGAAAACAAUGUUCAAACCUGGUACCCUCUACUUCCUACAUUUCAGAGAUGAGCAAGAGAGGCAUUAGAGUUCGAGGGCUUUCUGUGUCUCCAGGCCGUUCCGUGGCUGUGAGGUGGGGAUGCAAGGGGUGGGUGCACUCCAUGAGGGUCCAGCCUUUUGCUCUGUUUGCUCCCUUGAGCCCUGCUCGGUGGCUCUGAGACAGCACCCUCUGGCCAGAGCUGAGGGCCUGGAAGUAUGGACAGUUGGCCCAAGCUAGGCCCCUUCUUAACACUUUGAAUUUGGGACCCAGGGAGUUUAGUUGG